rnacentral:rRNA from 1 species
GAUGAACGCUAGCGACAGGCUUAACACAUGCAAGUCGAGGGGCAGCAUAAAAGUAGCAAUACUUUGGUGGCGACCGGCGCACGGGUGAGUAACGCGUAUGCAACCUACCUAUCAGAGGGGAAUAACCCGGCGAAAGUCGGACUAAUACCGCAUAAAACAGGGGCACCGCAUGGUGAUAUUUGUUAAAGAAAUUCGCUGAUAGAUGGGCAUGCGUUCCAUUAGGUAGUUGGUGAGGUAACGGCUCACCAAGCCGACGAUGGGUAGGGGAACUGAGAGGUUGGUCCCCCACACUGGUACUGAGACACGGACCAGACUCCUACGGGAGGCAGCAGUGAGGAAUAUUGGUCAAUGGGCGAGAGCCUGAACCAGCCAAGUCGCGUGAAGGAAGAAGGAUCUAUGGUUCGUAAACUUCUUUUGCAGGGGAAUAAAGUGCAGGACGUGUCCUGUUUUGUAUGUACCCUGAGAAUAGGAUCGGCUAACUCCGUGCCAGCAGCCGCGGUAAAGU